rnacentral:rRNA from 1 species
AUGGCGAUCAGAGCAACCAUUCCUCUCCUCUUCCUCCUGGGAACCAGCCUUCUCUUUGCCGCGGCUGUUUCGGCCUCCCGUGACGACGAGGAGGACAGGCGCGGUGGGCACUCGCUGCAGCAGUGCGUGCAGCGGUGCCAGCAGGACCGGCCACGGUACUCGCAUGCUCGGUGCGUGCAGGAGUGCAGGGAGGACCAGCAGCAGCACGGGAGGCACGAGCAGGAGGAGCAAGGCCGUGGCCAUGGCCGGCACGGCGAAGGGGGGCGUGAGGAGGAGCAGGGCCGUGGCCGUGGCAGGCACGGCCAGGGGGAGCGUGAGGAGGAGGAGGGCCGUGGCCGUGGGCGGCACGGCGAGGGAGAGCGUGAGGAGGAGGAGGGCCGUGGCCGUGGGCGGCACGGCGAGGGGGAGCGUGAGGAGCACGGAAAGCACGAGCAGGGCCGUGGCCGGCGCGGCGAGGGAGAGCGUGAUGAGGAGCACGGGGAUAGCCGCCGGCCGUACGUGUUCGGCCCGCGCAACUUUCGUAGCAUCAUCCGGAGCGACCACGGGUUCGUGAAGGCCCUUCGCCCGUUCGACGAAGUGUCCAGGCUCCUCCGAGGCAUCAGGAACUACCGCGUCGCCAUCAUGGAGGUGAACCCGCGCUCGUUCGUCGUGCCGGGACUCACGGACGCGGACGGCGUCGGCUACGUCGCUCAAGGCGAGGGGGUGCUGACGGUGAUCGAGAACGGCGAGAGGCGGUCCUACUCCGUCAGGCAAGGCGAUGUCAUCGUGGCGCCGGCGGGGUCCAUCAUGCACCUGGCCAACACCGACGGCCGGAGGAAGCUGGUCAUCGCCAAGAUCCUCCACACCAUCUCCGUGCCCGGCAAGUUCCAGUAUUUCUCGGCCAAGCCUCUUCUCGCGAGUUUGAGCAAACGCGUGCUGAGAGCGGCUCUCAAGACCUCGGAUGAGCAGCUGGACAGGCUGCUGUUCGGCAGGCGCCAAGGCCAGGAGGAGGAGCCCAUCUCCAUCGUCCGCGCGUCCGAGGAGCAGCUCCGCGAGCUGCGUCGCGAGGCGUCCGAGGGCGGGCAGGGCCACCACUGGCCUCUCCCCCCGUUCCGCGGCGACUCGCGCGACACCUUUAACCUCCUGGAGCAGCGCCCCAAGAUCGCCAACCGCCAUGGCCGCCUCUUCGAGGCCGACGCCCGGAGCUUCCACGCCCUUGCCCAACACGACGUCCGUGUCGCCGUGGCCAACAUCACACCGGGAUCUAUGACCGCGCCUUACUUGAACACCCAGUCGUUCAAGCUCGCCGUCGUGCUGGAAGGCGAGGGCGAGGUGCAGAUCGUGUGCCCGCACCUUGGCCAGGACAGCGAGCGCGAGCACGAGCACGGCAAGGGCAGGCGGAGCGAGGAAGAAGAGGACGACCAGCGGCAGCAACGCCGACGCGGCUCCGGCUCCGAGUCGGAGGAGGAGCAGGAUCAGCAGAGGUACGAGACGGUCCGCGCGCGGGUGUCGCGCGGCUCGGCGUUCGUGGUGCCCCCCGGCCACCCGGUCGUGGAGAUCGCCUCGUCCCGCGGCAGCAGCAACCUCCAGGUGGUGUGCUUCGAGAUCAACGCCGAGAGGAACGAGAGGGUGUGGCUCGCCGGGAGGAACAACGUGAUCGGCAAGCUGGACAACCCCGCGCAGGAGCUCACGUUCGGCAGGCCCGCCAGGGAGGUGCAGGAGGUGUUCCGCGCCAAGGAUCAGCAGGACGAGGGCUUCGUCGCCGGACCCGAGCAGCAGGAGCAGGAGCGCGGGGACCGCCGCCGUGGUGACCGCGGCCGCGGCGACGAAGCCGUGGAGGCCUUCCUGAGAAUGGCAACCGCCGCGCUCUGA